rnacentral:rRNA from 1 species
UACGUAGGGGGCAAGCGUUGUCCGGAUUUAUUGGGCGUAAAGAGCGUGUAGGCGGCCAGACAGGUCCGUUGUGAAAACUCGAGGCUCAACCUCGAGACGCCGAUGGAAACCGUCUGGCUAGAGUCCGGAAGAGGAGAGUGGAAUUCCCGGUGUAGCGGUGAAAUGCGCAGAUAUCGGGAAGAACACCCGUGGCUAAGGCGGCUCUCUAGUACGGUACUGACGCUGAGACGCGAAAGCGUGGGGGAGCGAACAGG